GAUGAACGCUGGCGGCGUGCCUUAAGCAUGCAAGUCGAACGAUUUCAGUAGCAAUAUUGUUUUAGUGGCAGACGGGUGAGUAAUAUAUAGGAAUCUACCUCUACGUGGGGGAUAGCUCGCCGAAAGGCGGGGUAAUACCGCAUAUGGCCUACGGGUCAAAGUCCUUCACCGGACGCGAAGAGAGGAGCCUGUAUCCUAUCAGCUAGUUGGUGAGGUAAUGGCUCACCAAGGCUACGACGGGUAGGGGGUGUGAGAGCACGACCCCCCACAAGGACACUGAGACACGGGUCCUACACCUACGGGUGGCAGCAACUGGGAAUCUUGCGCAAUGGACGAAAGUCUGACGCAGCGACGCCGCGUGUGGGAAGAAGGCCUUCGGGUCGUAAACCACUGUGGAGGGGGAAUAAAAAAAUGAAGGUACCCCUCUAGAAAGCACCUGCUAACUACGUGCCAGAAGCCUCGGUAAUACGUAGGGUGCAAGCGUUAUCCGGAUUUAUUGGGCGUAAAGCGUUCUGUAGGCGGUUUUGUAAGUACAUGGUUAAAGGCUUUGGCUCAACCAAAGACAUGCUGUGUAUACUGCGAGACUAGAUGGUUAUCGGGAGUAUCGGAAUUCUUGGUGGAGGGGUGAAAUCCGUUGAUAUCAAGAGGAACACCAAAGGCGAAGGCAGAUACUUAGGUAAUUCAUGACGCUGAUAGACGACAGCUAGGGGAGCGAAAGGGAUUAGAGACCCCUGUAGUCCUAGCCGUAAACGAUGGACACUAGCUGAUCGGAUUUUUCUGGUCGGCGUAAGCUAACGCGUUAAGUGUCCCGCCUGGGAAGUACGGCCGCAAGGCUA
rnacentral:rRNA from 1 species